GAAAGAGAUGGCUUCCCUGUUGUCUUGGUACUUACAGGCUUUAAUGUAAAAUAAAAGGACCAAUAUGAGAUAAAUAGUGACUAUUUAUCUGGAGUUGUGCACAAUGAGCCAAAAUUAUCCAGAUUAGCAAGAAAUGGCAGUUUAUUAGAAGGAAUUAAUGAACUUCCUACUAGUUGGAUUUCCUUCAACUUAGAGGUUAAGGAUUUGAUUACUAUUCAGUCCCAGGAGAUGCCAAUCAGCAGUGAGUCCAUCAUCAUCAUUCCAGAUGGAACGAAUGAGGAAGUUAAGGCAUGUCUCUUGCAAGUCCAAAAACUGAGUAAGUUUUAAAUCAUAGAUAUAUGCUAAUUAUGUCCUAUUUUUAUCAUUAGGUAUUGUUACCAGUCCAGGUCACGGAGUCGUUUCUCGCCUAUGACAGCAGCAUUCGUUGAAAAGGGAACACGGACUAUCGUACCAAAGUACAGACCGAGAAAAAAUGAAGAAAAAGAAAAGUACCUGCCAUGUGCACACUGUUUGGCCGUUGUUGUAGCUACAGACUUAUGGAAGCACCAAAAGUCAUGUCCAGCAAACAAAUCUCAACAAAAUUUAAAACAUCCUGUAUGUGAAGGACGUUUGCUGUUACCCUGUG